AGUCUGCAUGGAGCCGGCCUUGAAAUACCACCCUUUAAUGUUUGAUGUUCUAACGUUGACCCGUGAUCCGGGUUGCGGACAGUGUCUGGUGGGUAGUUUGACUGGGGCGGUCUCCUCCUAAAGAGUAACGGAGGAGCACGAAGGUUGGCUAAUCCUGGUCGGACAUCAGGAGGUUAGUGCAAUGGCAUAAGCCAGCUUGACUGCGAGCGUGACGGCGCGAGCAGGUGCGAAAGCAGGUCAUAGUGAUCCGGUGGUUCUGAAUGGAAGGGCCAUCGCUCAACGGAUAAAAGGUACUCCGGGGAUAACAGGCUGAUACCGCCCAAGAGUUCAUAUCGACGGCGGUGUUUGGCACCUCGAUGUCGGCUCAUCACAUCCUGGGGCUGAAGUAGGUCCCAAGGGUAUGGCUGUUCGCCAUUUAAAGUGGUACGCGAGCUGGGUUUAGAACGUCGUGAGACAGUUCGGUCCCUAUCUGCCGUGGGCGCUGGAGAACUGAGGGGGGCUGCUCCUAGUACGAGAGGACCGGAGUGGACGCAUCACUGGUGUUCGGGUUGUCAUGCCAAUGGCACUGCCCGGUAGCUAAAUGCGGAAGAGAUAAGUGCUGAAAGCAUCUAAGCACGAAACUUGCCCCGAGAUGAGUUCUCCCUGACUCCUUGAGAGUCCUGAAGGAACGUUGAAGACGACGACGUUGAUAGGCCGGGUGUGUAAGCGCAGCGAUGCGUUGAGCUAACCGGUACUAAUGAACCGUGAGG
rnacentral:rRNA from 1 species